GAGGAAGCAGCGGCAGCGGCGAGGGCGGCAGGCUAGCUGUCGGAGACGGCAAGCACGGAUCGGGCACGGCCGGCGGGUCGCAGCCGGGCUGGAGGCCGGUCGGAACCGAGCGGGCAGGAGGCCACCGCUGCAGCGCGGGCCCCGCAGAGGAAGGAAGCCGGCGGGCGGGGUAGCUCGUGUGUGGAGUGCCACGGUACAAUCAGACGACAGAUGGACAGUGUGACAAAAGUGUCAGAAAGGAUUGGGCCUCGCUGUGAGAGUCAGCCUGGAUUCAAAGUGUUGACAAGUUGCUGAAAAGGAAGCCAGUGAGAGGACUGUGGCACGCAGAGGAAGUGGAGCCCUGUCUUCGGUCACACCAUUGAUGGAGGACAGAUGGACAGCCGUAUGGCCAGUCACCUCUCCUCUUAAACCUUUGGAGAGUGGUCCUUUGUCCUCUGCUGGACACAUAAUAGGAAUUCUAACACAUUCUCUGAAUUCACUUUUCAUAAAAACGUAAAAUCAGACUGCUCUGUACAACCAGGCUCAACUGUUGCAUGGUAGCAGAUUUGCAAACAUGAGUGCUGAGGGGUACCAGUACAGAGCGCUGUAUGAU
rnacentral:lncRNA from 1 species